rfam:Medicago truncatula strain A17 chromosome 2, whole genome shotgun sequence.
UUGGAUGAAAUCAAUGUAGGAUCUACACUUUGGAAAUGAAACCCACAUAAAGUGGUGGGACAUACAUUGAUUUCACCCAA